GUCGAACGAACUCUGGUAUUGAUUGGUGCUUGCAUCAUGAUUUACAUUUGAGUGAGUGGCGAACUGGUGAGUAACACGUGGGAAACCUGCCCAGAAGCGGGGGAUAACACCUGGAAACAGAUGCUAAUACCGCAUAACAACUUGGACCGCAUGGUCCGAGUUUGAAAGAUGGCUUCGGCUAUCACUUUUGGAUGGUCCCGCGGCGUAUUAGCUAGAUGGUGGGGUAACGGCUCACCAUGGCAAUGAUACGUAGCCGACCUGAGAGGGUAAUCGGCCACAUUGGGACUGAGACACGGCCCAAACUCCUACGGGAGGCAGCAGUAGGGAAUCUUCCACAAUGGACGAAAGUCUGAUGGAGCAACGCCGCGUGAGUGAAGAAGGGUUUCGGCUCGUAAAACUCUGUUGUUAAAGAAGAACAUAUCUGAGAGUAACUGUUCAGGUAUUGACGGUAUUUAACCAGAAAGCCACGGCUAACUACGUGCCAGCAGCCGCGGUAAUACGUAGGUGGCAAGCGUUGUCCGGAUUUAUUGGGCGUAAAGCGAGCGCAGGCGGUUUUUUAAGUCUGAUGUGAAAGCCUUCGGCUCAACCGAAGAAGUGCAUCGGAAACUGGGAAACUUGAGUGCAGAAGAGGACAGUGGAACUCCAUGUGUAGCGGUGAAAUGCGUAGAUAUAUGGAAGAACACCAGUGGCGAAGGCGGCUGUCUGGCUGUAACUGAC
rnacentral:rRNA from 1 species